AAAAAGCAAGAGUGUAUGGCUGCAGACCGGAGCCUCUCGUCUCAUGCCACACCUCUCUGUGACUCCGUCAUCCUCCCUGUCAUCACUACAUUUCUUCGUUAAAUGUUUCACUUCUUCUUCUUCCCUUUCUUUUGGUCGCAACUAUUGCUUAGAUUAGUGGAAUGCCGCUACCUAACGGUAAAUCCCCGUGAGAUUUAAACAUAAUCUAGGACUGCGGGUGCUUGCUGUACACUCUCGGUUGUACACGCCCAGGCAUGAAACGGGAUGGCCCAAGAGGUGAAGGCAUGAGACGAGAGGCUCCAGGCUGCAGCCGUACCCGUCUCUCUAAAAGAGAAAGUCAGAAGAGACGGAGGAGGAAAGGGGAAGCAGAUGGAGGACGAGGACAGAGUGGUGUCUCACAAACGUCCAGACUUCAGCAGUCGUGAAGCUGAACCUUCAGACUCACAAACCAAACCUGGACCUUCUCCGGGACUCAGCAGUGAGUCUGUGAAGAGCGACGCCUCCAAAGACCUGCCUUUACUCUUCAGAACCAAACCUGGACUUUCUCCGGGACUCAGCAGUGAGUCUGUGAAGAG